UAUAAAGAAGGAAAAGGACUAGGAAAGAAUGAAUCUGGAAUAUUAGAUCCUCUUCCAAUGACAGGAAUUUUAGGAAUGGGAGGACUAGGUUCUAAAAGGAGCAGGUUUAUAGAUAAAAAUGUCGAAUGGGAUACCAAUUUUGACCCAAUUAGUAAAUUGACUGAGACUAUCGACAGUAUUAAGAUUUCUGAGAAUUUUGAUAUUAGUCUAUUUUUACUAAAUCCUAUCAAUGUUCAGAAGGCUAGGCUAUUUUUGUUAUCGUUUAAAUAGACUUGUCGAGAUAUUUCGACUGAAACGGAUUUCAUUGACAAAGAUCUGUGGCAUCAAAUUAUUGACUUGAAGAAUAUGCUGGAUUCGAUGUCUCCUUCGACAAUUAGUAGGGCUCAUAAGCUUUCAAAUCCAUUUGAAUCUAUUGGCCGUCAUUAUUUUAUGAAUCG